rnacentral:rRNA from 1 species
GGGCCCGCACAAGCGGUGGAGCAUGUGGUUUAAUUCGAUGCAACGCGAAGAACCUUACCUACUCUUGACAUACUUGGAAGCAAUUUCGUAGAUGAAAACGCUGUUAAAGACCUAUUACAGGUGUUGCAUGGCUGUCGUCAGCUCGUGUCGUGAGAUGUAAGGUUAAGUCCAUAAACGAGCGCAACCCUUAUUACUAUAUUAUUUAACUAGUAAUACUGCCUAUGAUAAGUAGGAGGAAGGAGAGGAUGACGUCAAGUCCUCAUGGCCCUUAUGAGUGGGGCUACACAUGUGCUACAAUGGUGACUACAAAAUGAAGCAAAAUCGUGAGGUAGAGCAAAACACAAAAGGUCAUCUCAGUUCGGAUUGGUCUCUGCAACUCGAGACUAUG